rnacentral:rRNA from 1 species
UACAGAGGUCCCAAGCGUUGUUCGGAUUCACUGGGCGUAAAGGGUGCGUAGGCGGUCGGGUAAGUCUGAUGUGAAAUCUCCAAGCUUAACUUGGAAAUGGCAUCGGAUACUAUUCGGCUCGAGGAAUGGAGGGGAGACUGGAAUACUUGGUGUAGCAGUGAAAUGCGUAGAUAUCUGGAGGAACACCGGUGGCGAAGGCGGCAUCCUGGACCAACACUGACGCUGAGUGAGCGAAAGCCAGGGGAGCAAACGGG